rnacentral:rRNA from 1 species
CCUACGGGUGGCUGCAGUGGGGAAUAUUGGACAAUGGGGGCAACCCUGAUCCAGCCAUGCCGCGUGUGUGAAGAAGGCCCUCGGGUUGUAAAGCACUUUCAGUGAGGAAGAACGCCUGGUGGUUAAUACCCAUCAGGAAAGACAUCACUCACAGAAGAAGCACCGGCUAACUCCGUGCCAACAGCCGCGGUAAUACGGAGGGUGCGAGCGUUAAUCGGAAUUACUGGGCGUAAAGCGCGCGUAGGUGGCUUGAUAAGCCGGUUGUGAAAGCCCCGGGCUCAACCUGGGAACGGCAUCCGGAACUGUCAAGCUAGAGUGCAGGAGAGGAAGGUAGAAUUCCCGGUGUAGCGGUGAAAUGCGUAGAGAUCGGGAGGAAUACCAGUGGCGAAGGCGGCCUUCUGGACUGACACUGACACUGAGGUGCGAAAGCGUGGGUAGCAAACAGGAUUAGAUACCCUAGUAGUC